AUGUUUGAUCCUGGCUCAGAGCGAACGCUGGCGGCAGGCUUAACACAUGCAAGUCGAGCGGGCGUAGCAAUACGUCAGCGGCAGACGGGUGAGUAACGCGUGGGAACGUACCUUUUGGUUCGGAACAACACAGGGAAACUUGUGCUAAUACCGGAUAAGCCCUUACGGGGAAAGAUUUAUCGCCGAAAGAUCGGCCCGCGUCUGAUUAGCUAGUUGGUGAGGUAAUGGCUCACCAAGGCGACGAUCAGUAGCUGGUCUGAGAGGAUGAUCAGCCACAUUGGGACUGAGACACGGCCCAGACUCCUACGGGAGGCAGCAGUGGGGAAUCUUGCGCAAUGGGCGAAAGCCUGACGCAGCGACGCCGCGUGCGGGAAGAAGGCCUUCGGGUUGUAAACCUCUUUCAGGAGGGACGAAGCCACUCGGGUUAAUAGCCCAGAGGGUGACGGUACCUCCAGAAGAAGCCCCGGCUAACUACGUGCCAGCAGCCGCGGUAAUA
rnacentral:rRNA from 1 species